GGGGGGAGGCCGGAUCCUAGGCUGUGUCCUGGCGCCCUGUGCUCCCGGCCUGUGCUGUUGGAUUCGCUCCCGCCCCGCAGCCCCCU
rnacentral:pre_miRNA from 1 species